GAUGAACGCUGGCGGCGUGCUUAACACAUGCAAGUCGAACGGAAAGGCUCCUGCUUGCAGGGGUACUCGAGUGGCGAACGGGUGAGUAACACGUGGGUGAUCUGCCCUGCACUUCGGGAUAAGCCUGGGAAACUGGGUCUAAUACCGGAUAGGACCAUCGUUUAGUGUCGGUGGUGGAAAGUUUUUUCGGUGUGGGAUGAGCUCGCGGCCUAUCAGCUUGUUGGUGGGGUAAUGGCCUACCAAGGCGUCGACGGGUAGCCGGCCUGAGAGGGUGUACGGCCACAUUGGGACUGAGAUACGGCUCAGACUCCUACGGGAGGCAGCAGUGGGGAAUAUUGCACAAUGGGCGCAAGCCUGAUGCAGCGACGCCGCGUGGGGGAUGACGGCCUUCGGGUUGUAAACUCCUUUCGCCAGGGACGAAGCGAAAGUGACGGUACCUGGAUAAGAAGCACCGGCUAACUACGUG
rnacentral:rRNA from 1 species